GUUAUGGUUGGGAUACCAAAUGAUAUGUUGGCUGGUCUUAGUUCUUCUACUUCUGCUGCUGAUUUGUGGGUAGCUCAAAAUGUUUCAAGAUAUAUAGUUAAAGGGGGUGUUAAUAUCAAGUAUGUUGCUGUUGGAAAUGAACCUUUUCUUACAAGUUAUUCUGGUCAGUAUCAAUCAUACGUCGUCCCAGCUAUGACGAAUUUGCUACAGUCUUUGGCCAAAGCAAAUCUUGCUAGGAAUGUAAAGCUGGUAGUCCCAUGCAAUGCUGAUGCCUAUGAGUCUUCCCUUCCAUCACAAGGAACCUUCAGACCCGAAUUGACUCCGAUCAUAACACAGAUGGUUUCACUUCUGAACUCCAAUGGUUCACCAUUCGUGGUAAAUAUUUAUCCAUUCCUCAGCCUAUAUGGAAACUCAGACUUCCCUCAAGAUUAUGCUUUUUUUGAAGGGACAACACAUGCUGUGACCGACGGGCCCAAUGUCUACUAUAACGCGUUUGAUGGAAAUUUAGACACUUUAAUAGCU
rnacentral:misc_RNA from 1 species